GAAAACACAUACCUCCAGAUACAGGGACAGUUUCUUUCAAGCUGCUAUCAGGCAACUGAACCAUCCUACCUCAACUAGAGAGCGGGUCCUGACCUACUAUAUACCUCAUUGGAGCGCCUUGGGAAAUCUUU